GACGAACGCUGGCGGCGUGCUUAACACAUGCAAGUCGAACGGAAAGGCCCUGCUUUUGUGGGGUGCUCGAGUGGCGAACGGGUGAGUAACACGUGAGUAACCUGCCCUUGACUUUGGGAUAACUUCAGGAAACUGGGGCUAAUACCGGAUAGGAGCUCCUGCUGCAUGGUGGGGGUUGGAAAGUUUCGGCGGUUGGGGAUGGACUCGCGGCUUAUCAGCUUGUUGGUGGGGUAGUGGCUUACCAAGGCUUUGACGGGUAGCCGGCCUGAGAGGGUGACCGGCCACAUUGGGACUGAGAUACGGCCCAGACUCCUACGGGAGGCAGCAGUGGGGAAUAUUGCACAAUGGGCGGAAGCCUGAUGCAGCAACGCCGCGUGCGGGAUGACGGCCUUCGGGUUGUAAACCGCUUUCGCCUGUGACGAAGCGUGAGUGACGGUAAUGGGUAAAGAAGCACCGGCUAGGUACGUG
rnacentral:rRNA from 1 species